UACGGGGGGAGCAAGCGUUGUUCGGAUUUACUGGGCGUAAAGGGCGCGUAGGCGGUCAGCACAAGUCAGUUGUGAAAUCUCCGGGCUUAACUCGGAAAGGUCAACUGAUACUGUGCGACUAGAGUGCAGAAGGGGCAACUGGAAUUCUCGGUGUAGCGGUGAAAUGCGUAGAUAUCUGGAGGAACACCGGUGGCGAAGGCGGCAUCCUGGACCGAUAUUGACGCUGAUGCGCGAAAGCCAGGGGAGCAAACGGG
rnacentral:rRNA from 1 species